UACAGAGGGUGCAAGCGUUGUUCGGAAUUACUGGGCGUAAAGCGCGUGUAGGUGGCGAUGUAAGUCGGGUGUGAAAUCCCUCAGCUUAACUGAGGAAGUGCACUCGAUACUGUGUCGCUUGAGUGUUGGAGGGGAUGGCGGAAUUCCCGGUGUAGAGGUGAAAUUCGUAGAUAUCGGGAGGAGCACCUGUGGCGAAGGCGGCCAUCUGGACAACUACUGACACUGAGACGCGAAAGCGUGGGUAGCAAACAGG
rnacentral:rRNA from 1 species